rnacentral:rRNA from 1 species
GUUCUAAGGGCGGUGAAGUCAGACCGGAAGGACUGGUGGAGCGCUUAGAAGUGAGAAUGCCGGUAUGAGUAGCGAAAGAAGGGUGAGAAUCCCUUCCACCGAAUAUCUAAGGUUUCCUGAGGAAGGCUCGUCCGCUCAGGGUUAGUCGGGACCUAAGCCGAGGCCGAUAGGCGUAGGCGAUGGACAACAGGUAGAGAUUCCUGUACCAGUGCUAAUUGUUUAACCGAUGGGGUGACACAGAAGGAUAGGGAAUCGCACGAAUGGAAAUGUGCGUCCAAGCAGUGAGUGUGAGAAGUAGGCAAAUCCGCUUCUCGCGAAGCAUGAGCUGUGAUGGGGAAGGAAAUUAAGUACGGAAGUUCCUGAUUUCACGCUGUCAAGAAAAGCCUCUAGGAAGAGUAGUACUGCCCGUACCGCAAACCGACACAGGUAGAUGAGGAGAGAAUCCUAAGGUGAGCGAGAGAACUCUCGUUAAGGAACUCGGCAAAAUGACCCCGUAACUUCGGGAGAAGGGGUGCUCUAUUAGGGUGCAAGCCCGAGAGAGCCGCAGUGAAUAGGCCCAGGCGACUGUUUAGCAAAAACACAGGUCUCUGCAAAACCGUAAGGUGACGUAUAGGGGCUGACGCCUGCCCGGUGCUGGAAGGUUAAGAGGAGUGCUUAGCUUCGGCGAAGGUACGAAUUGAAGCCCCAGUAAACGGCGGCCGUAACUAUAACGGUCCUAAGGUAGCGAAAUUCCUUGUCGGGUAAGUUCCGACCCGCACGAAAGGCGCAACGAUCUGGGCACUGUCUCAACGAGAGACUCGGUGAAAUUAUAGUACCUGUGAAGAUGCAGGUUACCCGCGACAGGACGGAAAGACCCCGUGGAGCUUUACUGCAACCUGAUAUGGAAUGUUUGUACCGCUUGUACAGGAUAGGUAGGAGCCGAAGAGACGUGUGCGCUAGCAUACGAGGAGGCAAUGGUGGGAUACUACCCUGGCUGUAUGACCAUUCUAACCCGCCACGCUUAGCGCGUGGGGAGACAGUGUCAGGUGGGCAGUUUGACUGGGGCGGUCGCC